AGCAGUCGCCACGGUAAUACGAAGGGUGCAAGCGUUACUCGGAAUUACUGGGCGUAAAGCGUGCGUAGGUGGUGGUUUAAGUCCGUUGUGAAAGCCCUGGGCUCAACCUGGGAAUUGCAGUGGAUACUGGGUCACUAGAGUGUGGUAGAGGAUAGUGGAAUUUCCGGUGUAGCAGUGAAAUGCGUAGAGAUCGGAAGGAACAUCUGUGGCGAAGGCGACUAUCUGGGCCAACACUGACACUGAGGCACGAAAGCGUGGGGAGCAAACAGGAUUAGAUACCCGUGUAGUCCCUGUCUCUUAUAC
rnacentral:rRNA from 1 species